AAAGGAAGUUAGACGGGGCCCGCACAAGCGGUGGAGUAUGUGGUUUAAUUCGAUGCAACGCGAAGAACCUUACCUGGUCUUGACAUCCCGGAGACCCUUAGGAAACUAGGGGGUGGCUUCCAUCUGGAAGAAUCUGGAGACAGGUGCUGCAUGGCUGUCGUCAGCUCGUGUCGUGAGAUGUUGAGUUAAGUCCCGCAACGAGCGCAACCCUUGCCUUUAGUUGCCAGCAGUUCGGCUGGGCACUCUAAAGGGACUGCCGGUGUUAAACCGGAGGAAGGUGGGGAUGACGUCAAGUCCUCAUGGCCUUUAUGACCAGGGCUACACACGUACUACAAUGGCCGAUACAAAGGGCAGCGACACUGCGAGGUGAAGCCAAUCCCGUAAAAUCGGUCUCAGUCCGGAUUGGAGUCUGCAACUCGACUCCAUGAAGUUGGAAUCGCUAGUAAUCGUGGAUCAGCAUGCCACGGUGAGUACGUUCCCGGGCCUU
rnacentral:rRNA from 1 species